rnacentral:lncRNA from 1 species
GCACUGGCUCAGGCUCAGCUCUGUUCCUUUGCACGCCCAGAGCAUGUUCCUCCAGCUGAAGGCAACGCUACAAACAAAACCACAUUCUUCUGUCUACAUUGUUUCCAGCUGCAGUAAAUUUUAAGCAAAAUCAGAUAUUAUUUAGUGAGAGCAGGUACAGGAUCAGUGCUGGCUUUGCUAAGGUUUCCUUAUUGGGUUGCAUCUCAGUUCAGCGGGAUGGAGAGCAGUGGACUCUCUCGGCUGUGGUCCCUGCAACAACCCACAGCGCAGGUAAUGUCACUCCCCAUGGGGCAUGCAGAAGGAAAGCACGGAUCUGGCAGGGUUUCCAACAUUGAAGAGGUUCCUCUCUGAAGAUUUUAUUCUUCUUGGAAGGAGAAACUU